rnacentral:rRNA from 1 species
CGAACGAAGCACUUUGAUCGAUUUCUUCGGAUUGAAAUUUUAGUGACUGAGUGGCGGACGGGUGAGUAACGCGUGGGUAACCUGCCUCACACAGGGGGAUAACAGUUGGAAACGGCUGCUAAUACCGCAUAAGCGCACAGUACCGCAUGGUACAGUGUGAAAAACUCCGGUGGUGUGAGAUGGACCCGCGUCUGAUUAGCUAGUUGGCAGGGCAACGGCCUACCAAGGCGACGAUCAGUAGCCGACCUGAGAGGGUGACCGGCCACAUUGGGACUGAGACACGGCCCAAACUCCUACGGGAGGCAGCAGUGGGGAAUAUUGCACAAUGGGGGAAACCCUGAUGCAGCGACGCCGCGUGAGCGAAGAAGUAUUUCGGUAUGUAAAGCUCUAUCAGCAGGGAAGAAGAAAUGACGGUACCUGACUAAGAAGCACCGGCUAAAUACGUGCCAGCAGCCGCGGUAAUACGUAUGGUGCAAGCGUUAUCCGGAUUUACUGGGUGUAAAGGGAGCGCAGGCGGAAGGCUAAGUCUGAUGUGAAAGCCCGGGGCUCAACCCCGGUACUGCAUUGGAAACUGGUCAUCUAGAGUGUCGGAGGGGUAAGUGGAAUUCCUAGUGUAGCGGUGAAAUGCGUAGAUAUUAGGAGGAACACCAGUGGCGAAGG